rnacentral:lncRNA from 1 species
GCUGGUCAGGACAGUCCAGGCUCUGUUCCAAUCCCUCCCUAGAAAUGAGAUGUCCUUCCAGGCUUAGCCCAGAGGGUCUUGUAACCCCGAGGUAUAAAACUCAGUGUGGGCUGCUUUCUGAGGUCCCUCAGCUGCUAUGAAAGUGGAGCACAUGCAGUUGAGACUCCAUCCACCCAGGCAGCUUUCCUGAACCUUGGAGGACUGGGUGGCAAUGAAUCCUCGGUUUCUGUUGUCCCUUGCUGCCUGCCUAUCUGACAUGUAGACUGGUGCUCCAGCAGCCAUCUUGGACCAUGAAGUGACCUUGGGAAUGAAAGCUAAGGAUAAU